CAGAGCAUCGACAUAUCAAAGAGGAGAACCCAAACUGCGUUGUACGUCCUCCAUCGCUUGCUGGACCACGGGGUGGCCAAGAAAAUUGUGGUUCAUGUGCAGUGUCCCAUAGUGCUGGCCUGGAUCCUGCACGGCAGGGGAUCUCAGUAUGUAAAUCCGGAUCUCAAGGAGCUACUGGAGAGCAAAAAGGCGAGCUGUGUGUCACAAACCGCUUCAGCCAGUGCAGACGGGGCCGGCGGCGGUUCCGGCCUUGGGACCGGGGCGCCGGAGGAACAAGUCACCCCCUGCAAACGCUCCAAGUUGGACUCUGCGGAGGAAUCCGGGAGAUCACACUUUACGUUGGACCCGCAGGUUCUCUGUCGGACCUUCACUCCGCGGGACGGCCCCUCGGCGGGGGCGUGUCCAUGGGGGCGGAUCGAUUGUCUGGACAUCAGGCAGUGUGGGUCCGACUCCCUCAGAGUGCUGAACUCGGCUCUGCCCACAUUCUUCUGCCUUCGCUCUCUGACUCUCCACAGCUUCUUGACCUUCAGAGACUCGGAUGUGUUGUCGUUGGCCAAAGCCCUGAAGCAGCUGUCGGACAGCUCCCACAGCUCUCUGGCCGACCUGAGCGUCAGCGUCCUGCCGUGCACGUGGCUCGUGGAGGUCCUGCUGGAUGCGAGCCCCAACCUCACCUCCCUGACCGCCGAGAUCCAGACUCUGAUGUGGGGGCAGCGCCUCCUACCGCAGCGCCCAAGAGCCGCGGGGUCGGGCAUCUCAGGUGCUGAGAAAGGUUCUACUGAGUUACACUUGACGUGUGUAUGACUGAAAGGGUGUUGUGUCGUUGGAUUGACAAAAGAUAUUUUCGAAAUAAAUGUUCCUUCUUAUUAGAGACUUUAUUCAAAAUGGAUCAGUACUGCAGAAUUGAGAAAGUUCUCAAUACAAAUGCUGCUCAUACCGAAGCACUGAAGGGUACAAAUGGCCACUUAAGGGGAUGUCUCGUGAACCCUCAGCAGAGCGGCUGCCCCUGGAGAAGCUGGACAUCAAAGUGGCCGAGCUGCAGACAGAUCUGCGCUUCGUCACGUCCGUGCUGAGACGCUGUCCACAGUUCACCUCGCUUCGCCUCGCCGGGAUCCGAUUACCAAGCGGCUCCUCUCUAAGCCAACUCUUUACCACUCUCUCAGGUAUUUGUGCGACUGCAGUGUACGGGGUCCACGACGGUGUGAGACGCACCGAACUACCACCGAGUGUGGAGUCAGCUGGAAAUAGUCCCUGACUGUGAUGUGAUGUGAGUUGGGAACCACUGGCCUAAACAAUCCCCGUACAGCUGCUUUCUGCUGCUGCUGUUUGUUUGUUGUUUGGCAUUAACACGAGCAUAGAUCUACAAUAAGCUGAUAUCUGCCUGCUCCAUUUAUGCAUCUGACUGAACGACAUGUCUAAACUUUUAGAGUCCAAUCCCCUCUUGAGGAGUCUCAACUUGGAGGACUUGAAGCUGUCUGAUUGUCUCCCUGAGAUCCUGAAUCUAUUGACAGACUGCAAGUUGGAAGGUAAGAGAAGGGGAAUGACUUGUGACCGGAGGAGAGCCAUCGAUGCAAACUCCCGUCACUGUCCGUUCCACAUCCCAACACGCCCGCUGGGAGGCCAGUGGCUUCUAUCGUGUUUUUAAGCAUCUUACUGAGUCUCUGGAGUCUAUUUUAGCUCCUGUGUUU
ensembl:lncRNA